AUUGAACGCUGGCGGAAGGAAGAACACAUGUAAGUCGAGCGGAUGAAGGGAGCUUGCUUGUGGAUUAAGAGGAGGAAGGGUGAGUAAUGAAUAGGAAUAUGUAUGGUAGUGGGGGAUAACGUCCGGAAACGGGCGCUAAUACCGCAUACGUCCUGAGGGAGAAAGUGGGGGAUCUUCGGACCUCACGCUAUCAGAUGAGCCUAGGUCGGAUUAGCUAGUUGGUGGGGUAAAGGCCUACCAAGGCGACGAUUCGUAACUGGUCUGAGAGGAUGAUCAGUCACACUGGAACUGAGACACGGUCCAGACUCCUACGGGAGGAAGCAGUGGGGAAUAUUGGACAAUGGGCGAAAGCCUGAUCCAGCCAUGCCGCGUGUGUGAAGAAGGUCUUCGGAUUGUAAAGCACUUUAAGUUAGGAAGAAGGGCAGUAAGUUAAUACUUUGCUGUUUUGACGUUACCAACAGAAUAAGCACCGGCUCCCUUCGUC
rnacentral:rRNA from 1 species